ACAACAUUUCUUGGGUCACAAAUCUGCCAUUUGGGCAGGCUCCGUGGGGAAGCCCUUCCUCUCUGCCCCGUUCGUCAUCACUAGGGCAGCCGGAAGACUAUGGGUCAGAAUAUCUGAAGGCUCUCACUCUCACGUCUGGCCAUUGAUGCUAGCUUUUGACUGAGACCUCAGGUGGCACUCUCGAUCAGAACCUGCACAUGCCCUCUCCAUGUGGCCUAGGCUUCCUCACAGCACUGUGGCUGAGUUCCAACAUGAGAAAGAGAGAGAGAGAUUGAGAACCAACCAGCAGAAGCCAGAUGCCUUUUAUGACCUAGCCCAGGAAGUUACACUGCGUCAUCUGUGACAUAUUCUAUUUGUUGAAGCAGCCACAGGGACCUGCCCAAGUUCAAUUGGAGGGGACGUAGACUCCGCCUUGUAAUGGAAAGUUGUAAUGUUCUGGAAGAGCAUGUGGCACUGGAAAUACUGCUGUGGCCUUUUUUGGAAAAUAUACAGAGCCCCAAUUUACAGAAGAGAACAUUGAGGUGCUCUCCCCACACCCUGCCCAGAGGUUAUCUCAGGCCUGAAGCUCGCAUUGACAUCCCACACUUCGUGCACUGAGCCAGGCAGCAUCCAGCACACAUGAGGGCAGCCUGGUUAUGACAGCAACACGUCAUAUGCCCACAGCCAGACACAGCUGGAAUCACAGCCUCCCGUCCACCGCUACACAGCUGGGCGACCUUGGGCCUCACGCAGACAAACGUGCUCAUCAAGAGGGAGGAGCUGGGCCAGGGCCCGUGAGGAUUUCUCUAAAAUCCUUUUCUGUGGCUCUGACUUCUGAGCCCCCAAGUUCCUCUUCUCCGAGCCAGAACCAGGAUUUGCAUCAGGGGACCACAGCGCCUGACUUUCCUGGAGGCUCUGAUGCUCUUCUUAUCCUUGUCCCUCAUGGGUUUCUGUACCUGAGGGGUCCUCGGAAGGUCUUAAGCCACCUCCCAGAGUUCCUGGAUUAAAAAUGGAUACUUUCUCCAGAACUUUAGGAAUGAAAGUGAAAAAUAAAGAGCU